rnacentral:rRNA from 1 species
UACGUAGGUGGCAAGCGUUACUCGGAAUUACUAGGCGUAAAGCGCAGGUAGGUGGUGCGAUAAGUCCGUAAUGGAAUCUCCCGGCUUAACUGGGAGGGGUUUAGGGAUACUGUCGUGCUUGAGUGUGGGAGAGGUCACUGGGAUUCCCGGUGUAGCGGUGAAAUGCGUAGAGAUCAGGAGGAACACCUAUGGCGAAAGCAGGUGACUGGCCCAAUACUGACACUGAGCUGCGGAAGCUAGGGGAGCAAACAGG